rnacentral:rRNA from 1 species
GACGAACGCUGGCGGCGUGCCUAAUACAUGCAAGUCGAACGCAGUGGGGACGGGUGAGUAACACGUUGGUAACCUCCCAUCAGAGGGGAUAACCCUUGGCAACAGGUGCUAAACCGCUACUGAUGGAUGGACCCGCGGUGCAUUAGCUAGUUGGUGAGGUAACGGGUCACAAAGGCCACGAUGCAUAGCCGGCCUGAGAGGGAGAUCGGCAACACUGGAACUGAGACACGGCCCAGACUCCUACGGGAGGCAGCAGUGGGGAAUAGUGGGCAAUGGGCGAAAGUCUGACCGAGCAACGCCGCGUGAGUGAAGAAGGUUUUCGGAUCGUAAAGCUCUGUUGUUAGAGAGGCGGUAUCUAAACAGAAAGCCACGGCUAACUACGUGCCAGCAGCCGCGGUAAUAC